rnacentral:tRNA from 1 species
GCUCCGGUGGUGUGAUGGCGAGGAGCACUCCUGCUUGUUGAGCAGGUGGGCGGGUUCGAGUCCAGCCUGGCGCU